rnacentral:rRNA from 1 species
CCUACGGGGUGCAGCAGUCGAGAAUCAUUCACAAUGGGGGAAACCCUGAUGGUGCGACGCCGCGUGGGGGAAUGAAGGUCUUCGGAUUGUAAACCCCUGUCAUGUGGGAGCAAAUUAAAAAGAUAGUACCACAAGAGGAAGAGACGGCUAACUCUGUGCCAGCAGCCGCGGUAAUACAGAGGUCUCAAGCGUUGUUCGGAAUCACUGGGCGUAAAGCGUGCGUAGGCUGUUUCGUAAGUCGUGUGUGAAAGGCGCGGGCUCAACCCGCGGACGGCACAUGAUACUGCGAGACUAGAGUAAUGGAGGGGGAACCGGAAUUCUCGGUGUAGCAGUGAAAUGCGUAGAUAUCGAGAGGAACACUCGUGGCGAAGGCGGGUUCCUGGACAUUAACUGACGCUGAGGCACGAAGGCCAGGGGAGCGAGAGGGAUUAGAUACCCGAGUAGUC